AUUGAACGCUGGCGGCAGGCCUAACACAUGCAAGUCGAACGAGUGGCGGACGGGUGCGUAAUGUCUGGGAAACUGCCCGAUUGCGGGGGAUAACUACUGGAAACGGUAGCUAAUACCGCAUACCAUCGGAUGUGCCCAGAUGGGAUUAACUCGUAGGUGGGGUAACGGCUCACCUAGGCGACGAUCCCUAGCUGUUCUGCGAGGAUGACCAUCCAAACUGGAACGGAGACACGGUACAGACGCCUACGGUAGGCAGCAGUGGGGAAUAUUGCACAAUGGGCGCAAGCCGUAUGCAGCCAUGCCGCGUGUAUGAAGAAGGCCUUCGGGUUGUAAAGUACUUUAAGCGAGGAGGCGUUACUCGCAGAAGAAGCACCGGCUAACGCCGUGCCAGCAGCCGCGGGAAUAC
rnacentral:rRNA from 1 species